rnacentral:rRNA from 1 species
GAGUUGAUCAUGGCUCAGAACGAACGCUGGCGGCGCGUCUUAAGCAUGCAAGUCGAACGGCAAGAGGUAGCAAUACCUCCUAGAGUGGCGGACUGGUGAGUAACACGUGGGUGACAUACCCUUCAGAUGGGGAUAGCUAUUAGAAAUAGUAGAUAAUACCGAAUACGAGCACAGGGGUUAGAGAUCUGUGAGGAAAGGAGCUAAGGCUCCGCUGAAGGAAUGGCCUGCGGCCCAUUAGCUAGUUGGUGAGGUAAGAGCCCACCAAGGCGAUGAUGGGUAUCCGGCCUUAGAGGGUGAACGGACACAUUGGGACUGAGAUACGGCCCAGACUCCUACGGGAGGCAGCAGCUAAGAAUAUUCCGCAAUGGACGAAAGUCUGACGGAGCGACGCCGCCGUGGAUGAAGAAGGCCGGAAGGUUGUAAAAUCCUUUUGAAACUGAAGAAUAAGCGUUGUAGGGAAUGACAGCGUGGUGACAGUAGGUUUUGAAUAAGCAACGGCUAAUUACGUGCCAGCCGCGGC